ACGGAGUCUUGCUCCAUCACCCAGGCUGGAGCGCAAUGGCGUGAUCUUGGCUCACUGCAACCUCCACCUCCCAGGUUCAAAUAAUUCUCCUGCCUCAGCCUCCCAAGUAGCUGGGAUUACAGGUGCCCACCACCAUGCCCAGCUAAUUUUUAUAUAUCUAUUUUUUUAUUAGAGAUGGGGCUUCGCCAUGCUGGCCAGGCUAGUCUCAAACUCCUGACUUCAGGUGAUCCACCCGCCUCAGCCUCCCAAAGUGUCAGGAUUACAGGCAUGAGCCACCGCACACAGCCUAAAAUACUAUUUAAUUCACAAAUGAUCCAUUCACUUCAGAACAAACAAAUAAAUGAAAAUAGCUCCAUAACCACAGAUGUGACAACUCCUCCUGGGGCACUGUCACCCAAUCUUUACUCAAAUGAAUGCAUGCAUUCCCACCAGAAUACAGGAUGUGGGGACGCGUGGCUCCAUUCACAUUAGUGCCAUUCUCAGAAGCAUGACUAGGUGGGUGGCUCCUACAGAUGACGUUUAACUGCCUUCAUCUUCACAGAGGACAGCAAUCACCUCAUUGAGCUUUAUAGCUUACAGAGGCUAAAAACCACUCUACGGAGGAAAUCCAGGAUUUCCAGUGGUACUACAGGAGAUGAAGCUGUACACAGGCUACUGAGGACUGAAGGACAACUUACUUAGGAUUCGGAAUGACUACCCAGCUUGUGAGUGGACUAAGGCCUUUGAUUCUCCUGCUUCUUCUCCUCCCUCCUUGAUCUUUUAAUUGCUCAUAAAAACUCUAUGAGGUCAGCAGAGCAAGAUGCAAAGAAUGUGUCCAAAUAGUCCAUUUGGUUUCUUUUGAGUCAAUCGAGUUAAAGUGUUUUAAGAGAAGAUCAAAUCUAUUGGCUAACAAGAGGACCAGAGGUCAUGUGUGGAUUUUGAUUGUCCAUACCAUGCGUGUCCAAACCAGAAUGAGACUCACAGAAGCAGAGAAUAAGGAGCUAUGAGAGAAGGAAUAGAAUUGUUUUUCAGCUUUACACAUUUGAGAGAUGCAGAAACCGAUGCCCAGAGAGCAUAACGGACUUGGUCAACGUCACAGAACUUGUUUAAAGUAGGAUAAAAAAGCACGAAGUCAUUUAAUAUUUGAUAACUAGCAUCAAGUAUGUUAUAUUGAAUAUAUAUAUUUAUAUUAAAUAAUAAAAAGUUUCAUCUAAGGCUCUAUUUUUAAAUAACAGUUGUUUUCCAUUAUAGAUCUGCAAAGACAAUUUUAUAAGUCAUCUGUUAAUAAUAUGUUAUUUCAAAGCAAACUAUCCAUCAGGCAAUCAUAAAGUAUGCUAGGAGGUGGCAUGGCUUUUGUUUCACAGAAGAAAACAGAGUGAGAUAUAUUUGAUGACUGAAGCAUAGAAGUUCCUUUGAGCCAUUAGCCAACCUGCUACUGUUCCCGCAAAGAUAUCUUAAAGGACUGCACAAAGUGAGCACAACUGUUCCUCCUGGGAGGUAGAAAGCAGGAGGGGACAGGCAGGGAAAUAUGAAAAAUGAAUCUUUCCAUCCCCUCAUUUGCUUGUCACUGUACACACUCUCAUGAGACAUAAGACACACUCUUAUGUCUGGAAGGUGUGAUUUCAAAUUUUACACAACCUGAAAGAAGGAAAGGUUCUCUGUCGACACUGGAGAGGUAAUAGGGCUUGGCAUGGGGAGAGAUGAAAUUCGAGUUACACUUGGGACAACUUUAAUUUCAAUUUAUAAUAAAACUCUAUUACAAGGCUAUACUACAGAUAGUCAGUAGAAGACUCAACUCAAGAGCAGAGAGGGCUCUGGAGAAAUGUAGUAGACAUGGAAAAUGACUUUUGCAUGGGAGAAAGAAUACAGAGAAGAGGAAAAAAUAAAGCCUCCAGCAGUAAACCAGGUCUUCCUUGACCCUCAGAAAAAUCAAGAAAGGAAUAUUAACAGUACUGUGGAUUGAAGAAAAGCCAAAUAAACCUUCCGCAAUAAUAGCUUGUCUUAUAGAUUUGCAAAAAGUAAUCACUGGAGAAAAUGACAGGGCCAGCAUAAUUCCAGAGGAAAGUGAAAUAAGAAAGACACCUUUCAUUUUCUCUAUGGGGACAGAAAAUAUGUGGUGGCAAUGUAGGGUUGUCUCAGAAAUCUUAUUGGCCACAUUUAUUCCUCUCAUUAAAUGUUGAUACGUGUGACACAUAAUAUGUUCUGUUAAUUAAGCCUCUUAACAUAACUUCGUGGACUUCAGAAGUUUGUAGGACUCAGGGGAAGAAGAUUCUACAACCCAGCAAACUUCCAAGAAAGCAAUUACCCAGAAGAGUUUAUCCAAGUGUGCGUGGCUGACAAAGCUGCCUCACCAUUUCAGAACAGGUCUCUUGCAAAGCUGCAAUGAUGGUAUGAGCUGGGGCUGCAGUCAUCUCAAAGCCUGACUAGGGGAGGAUCUG
rnacentral:lncRNA from 10 species